CAGCCGCCGCGGUAAUACGAAGGGGGCUAGCGUUGCUCGGAAUGACUGGGCGUAAAGGGCGCGUAGGCGGCGAUCAAAGUCAGGCGUGAAAUUCCUGGGCUCAACCUGGGGGCUGCGCUUGAUACUUGGUUGCUUGAGUGGGGAAGAGGGUCGUGGAAUUCCCAGUGUAGAGGUGAAAUUCGUAGAUAUUGGGAAGAACACCGGUGGCGAAGGCGGCGACCUGGUCCAUAACUGACGCUGAGGUGCGAAAGCGUGGGGAGCAAACAGGAUUAGAUACCCCGGUAGUCCCUGUCUCUUAUAC
rnacentral:rRNA from 1 species